rnacentral:rRNA from 1 species
AUUGAACGCUGGCGGCAGGCCUAACACAUGCAAGUCGAACGAGUGGCGGACGGGUGAGUAAUGUCUGGGAAACUGCCUGAUGGAGGGGGAUAACUACUGGAAACGGUAGCUAAUACCGCAUACCAUCAGAUGUGCCCAGAUGGGAGUAGCUUGUUGGUGGGGUAACGGCUAACCAAGGCGAAGAUCCCUAGCUGGUCUGAGAGAAUGACCAUCCACACGUGAACUGAGCCACGGUCCAGACUCCUACGGGAGUCAUCAGUGGGGAAUAUUGCACAAUUGGCGCAAGCCUGAUACAGCCAUGCCGCGUGUAUGAAGAAGGCCUUCGGGUUGUAAAGUACUUUCAGCGGGGAGGCGUUACCCGCAGAAGAAGCACCGGCUAACUCCGUGCCAGCAGCCGCGGUAAUUC